GAUGAACGCUAGCGGGAGGCCUAACACAUGCAAGCCGAGCGGUAUUGUUUCUUCGGAAAUGCGAGAGCGGCGUACGGGUGCGUAACACGUGUGCAACCUGCCUUUAUCUGGGGGAUAGCCUUUCGAAAGGAAGAUUAAUACUCCAUAAUAUAUUGAACGGCAUCGUUUAAUAUUGAAAGCUCCGGCGGAUAGAGAUGGGCACGCGCAAGAUUAGCUAGUUGGUGAGGUAACGGCUCACCAAGGCGAUGAUCUUUAGGGGGCCUGAGAGGGUGAUCCCCCACACUGGUACUGAGACACGGACCAGACUCCUACGGGAGGCAGCAGUGAGGAAGAUUGGUCAAUGGGUGCAAGCCUGAACCAGCCAUCCCGCGUGAAGGACGACUGCCCUAUGGGUUGUAAACUUCUUUUGUAUAGGGAUAAACCUACCCUCGAGAGGGUAGCUGAAGGUACUAUACGAAUAAGCACCGGCUAACUCCGUG
rnacentral:rRNA from 1 species